GAUGAAGAACGCAGCGAAAUGCGAUAAGUAAUGUGAAUUGCAGAAUUCAGUGAAUCAUCGAAUCUUUGAACGCACAUUGCGCCCGCCAGUAUUCUGGCGGGCAUGCCUGUUCGAGCGUCAUUUCAACCAUCAAGCCCCAGGCUUGUGUUGGGGACCUGCGGCUGCCGCAGGCCCUGAAAACCAGUGGCGGGCUCGCUGUCACACCGGGCGUAGUAGAUUUUAUCUCGCUCAGGGCGUGCUGCGGGUUCCGGCCGUUAAAAAGCCUUUUUUACCCAAGGUUGACCUCGGAUCAGGUAGGAAUACCCGCUGAACUUAAGCAUAUCAAAAGCGGAGGA
rnacentral:misc_RNA from 1 species